rnacentral:snRNA from 1 species
AUAUUACUUUAAUUUCUAAAACAAGGUGAAGUGCUUGAAGCUUGCUUCACCUUUGCCACGGGUUGACCCGGUAUUGCAGUGCCUCUGGGAUCGGCCC